UGAGUGGCGAACGGGUGAGUAACACGUGGGCAACCUGCCCAAAAGAGGGGGAUAACACUUGGAAACAGGUGCUAAUACCGCAUAACCAUAGUUACCGCAUGGUAACUAUGUAAAAGGUGGCUAUACUACCGCUUUUGGAUGGGCCCGCGGCGCAUUAGCUAGUUGGUAGGGUAAAGGCUUACCAAGGCAAUGAUGCGUAGCCGAAUUGAGAGGUUGAUCGGCCACAUUGGGACUGAGACACGGCCCAAACUCCUACGGGUGGCAGCAGUAGGGAAUCUUCCACAAUGGGCGAAAGCCUGAUGGAGCAACGCCGCGUGGGUGAAGAAGGUCUUCGGAUCGUAAAACCCUGUUGUUAGAGAAGAAAGUGCGUGAGAGUAACUGUUCACGUUUCGACGGUAUCUAACCAGAAAGCCACAGCUAACUACGUGCCAGCAGCCGCGGUAAUACGUAGGUGGCAAGCGUUAUCCGGAUUUAUUGGGCGUAAAGGGAACGCAGGCGGUCUUUUAAGUCUGAUGUGAAAGCCUUCGGCUUAACCGGAGUAGUGCAUUGGAAACUGGGAGACUUGAGUGCAGAAGAGGAGAGUGGAACUCCAUGUGUAGCGGUGAAAUGCGUAGAUAUAUGGAAGAACACCAGUGGCGAAAGCGGCUCUCUGGUCUGUAACUGACGCUGAGGUUCGAAAGCGUGGGUAGCAAACAGGAUUAGAUACCCUGGUAGUCCACGCCGUAAA
rnacentral:rRNA from 1 species